GCUCCUGUAGCUCAGUUGGAUAGAGCGGCGGACUUCUAAUCCGUAGGUCGUAGGUUCGAUUCCUACCGGGGGCG
rnacentral:tRNA from 1 species